UACGUAGGGGGCAAGCGUUGUCCGGAAUCAUUGGGCGUAAAGCGCGUGUAGGCGGCUCGGUAAGUCCGCUCUGAAAGCCCGGGGCUCAACCCCGGGAGGCGGGUGGAUACUGCUGAGCUCGAGUCCGGAAGAGGAGUGUGGAAUUCCUGGUGUAGCGGUGAAAUGCGCAGAUAUCAGGAGGAACACCAAUGGCGAAGGCAGCACUCUGGGACGGUACUGACGGCUGAGACGCGAAAGCGUGGGGAGCAAAGCAGG
rnacentral:rRNA from 1 species